rnacentral:rRNA from 1 species
GAUGAACGCUGGCGGCGUGCCUAGUACAUGCAAGUCGAGCGAACGGACGAGAAGCUUGCUUCUCUGAUGUUAGCGGCGGACGGGUGAGUAACACGUGGAUAACCUACCUAUAAGACUGGGAUAACUUCGGGAAACCGGAGCUAAUACCGGAUAAUAUUUUGAACCGCAUGGUUCAAAAGUGAAAGACGGUCUUGCUGUCACUUAUAGAUGGAUCCGCGCUGCAUUAGCUAGUUGGUAAGGUAACGGCUUACCAAGGCAACGAUGCAUAGCCGACCUGAGAGGGUGAUCGGCCACACUGGAGCUGAGACACGGUCCAGACUCCUACGGGAGGCAGCAGUAGGGAAUCUUCCGCAAUGGGCGAAAGCCUGACGGAGCAACGCCGCGUGAGUGAUGAAGGUCUUCGGAUCGUAAAACUCUGUUAUUAGGGAAGAACAUAUGUGUAAGUAACUGUGCACAUCUUGACGGUACCUAAUCAGAAAGCCACGGCUAACUACGU